UACGUAGGGGGCUAGCGUUGCUCGGAAUCACUGGGCGUAAAGGGCGUGUAGGCGGUUCGGUAAGUGGAAUGUGAAAUCCCUCGGCUCACCCGAGGACCUGCAUCCCAAACUGCCGAGCUUGAGUAUGGGAGAGGAUGAGGGAAUUCCUGGUGUAGCGGUGAAAUGCGUAGAUAUCGGGAAGAACACCCGUGGCGAAGGCGGCUCUCUGGGACGGUACUGACGCUGAGACGCGAAAGCGUGGGGAGCGAACAGG
rnacentral:rRNA from 1 species